rnacentral:rRNA from 1 species
GUGUCAGCCGCCGCGGUAAUACGUAGGUGGCAAGCGUUAUCCGGAAUUAUUGGGCGUAAAGCGCGCGCAGGUGGUUUCUUAAGUCUGAUGUGAAAGCCCACGGCUCAACCGUGGAGGGUCAUUGGAAACUGGGAGACUUGAGUGCAGAAGAGGAAAGUGGAAUUCCUUGUGUAGCGGUGAAAUGCGUAAUGAUAUGGCAGAAAACCAGUGGCGAAGGCGACUUUCUGGGCUG